CCAAUAGCGUAUAUUAAAGUUGUUGCAGUUAAAAAGCUCGUAGUUGAAUUUCGGGAUCAAUAUAUCGGUCGUGCCUUGGUACGUACUGGUAUCAUUGGUUUCUCCUUUCUGACGAACCAUGAUGUCAUUAAUUUGGUGUUAUGGGAAGUUAGGACUGUUACUUUGAAAAAAUUAGAGUGUUUAAAGCAGGCUUUAGCUUGAAUACAUUAGCAUGGAAUAAUGAAAUAGGACGUUCGAACCUAUUUUGUUGGUUUCUAGGAUCAACGUAAUGAUUAAUAGGGAUAGUUGGGGGCAUUAGUAUUCAAUUGUCAGAGGUGAAAUUCUUGGAUUUAUUGAAGACUAACUACUGCGAAAGCAUUUGCCAAGGAUGUUUUCAUUAAUCAAGAACGAAAGUUAGGGGAUCGAAGACGAUCAGAUACCGUCGUAGUCUUAACCAUAAACUAUGCCGACUAGGGAUCGGAUGAUGUUAAUUUUUAAUGACUCAUUCGGCGCCUUACG
rnacentral:misc_RNA from 1 species